GUUUGGCAAUGAUGAUGAAUUGUAACAGCUUGAUACGCCAGUUCUGCUUCAGAUAAUUUUUGAUUGAAAAAGCUGUAUUUUUGAUUGAAAAAGCCUUUU